GCCAUGUAAUAUUUUGAUGUUGGGCUCUAGCAUGUAGUCGUCAGGCCCUGUGUUCGAAUCUCGCGAGAGCGG
rnacentral:tRNA from 1 species